rnacentral:sRNA from 1 species
CAUCAGUACGUGCCGAGUUUCCUUAAUAAAACAAGGAAAACGGGGGAACCACUUUGGGUGAAUUGACCUCCUAUUCUAAGAGGGGUCAUAGGGGACCUUCAACCGAACCCUUAAGCUAACCUCGUAGGCAUUUGGAAGGGGUUUA